AGAAGACUCGUGUCAGCGAGGGAUCAAUAUCACUUACAGUCCUUAAAGGAAAAAACACAAGAAGGGGGUUUUACAACAACCAACGAAAUCGGCAAACACACAGGGUUUUUUUUAACGUAAGGAAGUCUCUCAAAGAAAAAAACCCAGAAGAAACUUGCAAAAUGAGUUCGGACGAAGAAAAAGGUGAUUCCCAUGGCUCCGUUUUCAUGCGAGCAUCCGAUAGAUACCCACGCACCCCAAAAUGUGCAAGAUGCAGAAACCAUGGAGUGGUGUCCGCCUUGAAAGGUCACAAACGGUACUGUAGAUGGAGGGACUGUGUAUGCGCAAAAUGCACCCUGAUAGCAGAAAGGCAACGCGUGAUGGCGGCUCAGGGGCGCUGCUUACUCAAAUUACAGUGGUUUGAAUUCAUCUUCAAAUGGCGCCAAACCUUUUCAUUAUGCCAUGUGUCCUUGCUGCACCACGAAACCAUUUCCCUCAUCCAACUCGGAGAAGUCAAGCUGCAUCGCUGAAUAAUGAGAUGACAUAAACUAUCUUCAUGCUGUGGUGAUCGCAUUUAAUUAUUUGAAUAACAUUACACUUUGAUGUAGGAAACACCGAGAUUGUUUCAUAUUGUAUCUGUGCUUUUGGUCGUGGCAUUUGUUGCAAGUCGCUCUAUGUAGAGACGUCUGGACUGAACAAUAGUCGUAAACGUCAGUGCUUAGAACUACACAUUUAUAUUAGCAUAGAUUAAAUUGUAAAUAGUAUUACGAUAUUGUUAAAUUAUUUUCAUCACCUUGUGUAUAUUGUCAUGGUUAUUUCACUGACCUUAUAUGUCAAUAAAUGAAAAGAAC
rnacentral:misc_RNA from 1 species